rnacentral:rRNA from 1 species
CCGCACAAGCGGAGGAACAUGUGGUUUAAUCGAUGAUACGCGAGGAACCUUACCUGGGCUUAAAUGUAGAGUGCAUUUUUUAGAGAUAGAAAUUCCCUUCGGGGCUUUCUGCAAGGUGCUGCAUGGUUGUCGUCAGCUCGUGCCGUGAGGUGUCGGGUUAAGUCCCAUAACAAGCGCAACCCUUAUCGUUAGUUGCCAUCUGGUAAUGCAGGGGACUCUAGCGAAACUGCCACCGUAAGGUGAGAGGAAGGUGGGAUGACGUCAAAUCAGCACGGCCCUUAUGUCCAGGGCUACACACGUGUUACAAUGGUCGGUACAGAGGGCAGCCAGCUCGCGAGAGUGAGCAAAUCUCAAAAAGCCAUCCUCAGUUCGGACUGAAGUCUGCAACUCGACUUCAUGAAGUUGGAGUCGCUAGUAAUCGCGGAUCAGCAUGCCGCGGUGAAUACGUUCCCGGGCCUU